AAAUUGAAGAGUUUGAUCAUGGCUCAGAUUGAACGCUGGCGGCAGGCCUAACACAUGCAAGUCGAACGGUAACAGGAAGCAGCUUGCUGCUUCGCUGACGAGUGGCGGACGGGUGAGUAAUGUCUGGGAAACUGCCUGAUGGAGGGGGAUAACUACUGGAAACGGUAGCUAAUACCGCAUAACGUCGCUAGACCAAAGAGGGGGACCUUCGGGCCUC
rnacentral:rRNA from 1 species